GCCCGGGUGGUGGAAUGGUUUACACAGAGGACUUAAAAUCCUUGACCCUAACGGGUUUGUGGGUUCGACUCCCACCCCGGGCACCA
rnacentral:tRNA from 1 species